UGAUUCAAAUGCAAUGUGUGGAAGGGU
rnacentral:piRNA from 1 species